CUUUGAAGCUUUCUGGCUACAAGAUCAAGAGUGCCGCCAGAUAAUAGCUGAAUCCUGGCUUUCCAUUCCAAGGUCAGACCCUACAAUGUCAAAGAAACUCAAGGCUGUUUCAGUUGCCCUUACCACAUGGAGUAAAAGAAAAUUUUCCAAUGGUCUUAAGCAAAUCAACUAUUUGAAAGAACAACUCCAACAUAUCACAAACCAACCCCAUAACAAUCAUGAUAGUGAAGAAGUAGCUCGCCUGCAAAAGGAAAUUCAUCUGGCAACAGGAAGAGCAGUAUUGGGCAUUGCGAUCUUGAAUUAAUUGGUUGAGAUGAGGCGACAAGAACACCAAAUUCUUCCACGCCUCCACUAUUCAACGUAGACAGAGAAAUCGGAUAAGUAUGCUACAGGAUGCAGAUCAGACAUGGGUUCGCGAUCAACAGAAACUAAAGGACAUGACCCAGAAUUAUUUCAUGACUUUGUACACAUCCAUGGGGCAUCGUGAUUACACGCCUCUAUUGCUGCAAUGCCCAUGAAUGGUUACGGAGGAAAUAAACAAUCAUCUCACACAAGCAGUUACUCAAGAAGAAAUUCGACAGGUAGCCUUUCAGUUGGGAGCCACAAAAGUGCCAGGACCAGAUGGACUAAAUGGGCUUUUCUACCAACAUCAUUGAGAUAUUCUACAAGAUGACCUGCUCAGCUUGGUACAAGAAUUUUUUCACUCUGGCGUUAUGCAACCUAGACUCAAUUAGACAAAUAUAACCUUAAUACCCAAAGUACCCAACCCGGAACGACUCGACCAAUACCGUCCGAUCAGCCUUUGCAACUAUGUGUACAAGAUCAUCUCAAAGGUAUUAGCAAACCGUCUGACCAGGUUGAAUAAGAUUUUCUACAAGAUUACAUGCUCAAAUUGGGUUUCCACUCAGUAUGGGUCUAAUGAGUCAUGCAAUGUAUUACAACUACUUCACUUAGUGUUAGAUUUAAUGGAGACAACCUCCCUUAUUUUCACCCUUCUAGAGGACUCAGACAGGGCGACUCUCUAUCUCCAUAUCUCUUCAUCCUGGUGGCGAAUAUCUUAUCCAUACUUAUCCAUCAAGCUAUGCAAAUGGGAAAUCUCAAAGGCAUUCAAUUAAAUAGGUGGUGUCCAAUCCUCUCUCACUUAUUGUUUGCUGAUGAUGCUAUCUUCUUCCUAGAUGGCACACUUCAAGAAAGUCAGAACCUAGCCAAUCUCAUAAAUCAAUAUUGCAUGGCAACCAGUUAGACUGUGAACAGGAACAAAUCAAGCAUUCUCUUUAGCAAGGUGUGUCCUACUCGUUUACAAGAAAAUUUGGCCAAAUAACUUCGAGUUCCUAUGAUUACCAAGACUGGUAAAUACCUAGGCAUACCAUAGACUGGGGAAGAUCGAAAAAGGAGAUGUUCGCUUGGAUAUUAGGUCGAGUGAAUUCGAAACUACAAGGCUGGAAAGAGCAGUUCAUUUCAAAAGGUGGUAAGAAAACUUUAGUUAAAACAGUUGUCCAGGCAAUCCCUCAAUAUGCGAUGUCUAUUUUUAAGAUUCUCUUAUCUUUGUGCAAGUCUAUUGAGCAGAAGAUUGCCAAAUUCUGGUGGCAAAAUACUAACACCAAGUCAAGUAUCCAUUGGAAGCGAUGGGAUUCCCUUACAACUAGAAAGGACACCGGUGGAAUGGGCUUUCGAAACCUCAUCACUUUCAAUAAAGCCUUACUUGGAAAACAGGCAUGGCGUCUAAUUCAAAAUCCUACUUCUCUAUGGAGUCAACUAUUUAAAGGUCUUUACUAUCAUUCAAAGGAAUUCUAGUAUGCCAACAAAGGUGCAAGACCAUCCUGGGGCUGGCAGAGUCUACUGACUGGCAGAGACUCGAUAUUGAACAAUAUACAAUGGUCUGUUGGAGAUGGGCAACAAAUCUCAAUCCGCGAAGACAGAUGGCUUUCAAGAGGAACUAUUGGCGGCCCUACACCCUUGGGAGAACCAACGAAGGUCACAACCUUCAUCUUACAAGACUAGAAUAGAUGGAAUGAACCUAUGCUGCGUAAGUCUUUUAAUGACCAUAUAGUUAAGGAAAUCCUAACUAUUCAGCGUCGAACGCAAUGCACAGCCGAUCAGAUCAUUUGGAAAGGAACCCAAAACGGAGUAUACAUAGUUAAGAAUUCUUACAACUCCCUCAGAGCUACAGCGAACAGAACUGAACUAAGCAGCACAUCAUCCUCCUACCAAACUCCGCGACACAUUUCGUGCAAGAUCUGGAAAAUGAAGACAUCCCCAAAGCUUCGUAUAUUUAUGUGGUCUUUAUGCCACAAUGUUAUUUCUACACGUGAGAACCUCUAUCACAGACAUAUAAUUCCAAACUCAACGUGUCAUAUUUGUCAAGCACACAUACUAGAAUCAACAGAGCACAUAUUUUUACUAUGUCCAUGGAUGUGGAAGGUAUGGUCUCACCCACAGGUUCAAAUCACACCGGAGGCAUAUCACAUACAAUGCAUUGACGCGUGGUUAAUAGAUCUAUUGGAAGAUAGAGCUCUCUUACUUGAUUUGGUGACCCUUGCGCAUCUUCUGUGGUAGAUCUAGAAAGCAAGGAAUAACUUUAUCUUUCGCAGGCUCUCCCAAGAUCCAGCACAGGUUGUUC
rnacentral:lncRNA from 1 species